GAACUAGUACCGUGAGGGAAAGGUGAAAAGAACCCCGGGAGGGGAGUGAAAUAGAAUGUGAAACCAUAUGCUUACAAACGAUCGGAGGUUCCUUNUGNGNCUGACGGUGUGCCUAUUGAAGAAUGUGCCGGCGACUUAAUGUCACUAGCAAGGUUAAGUUUAAAUACGGAGCCGCAGCGAAAGCGAGUCUGAAUAGGGCGAUUUAGUUAGUGGGAUUAGACCCGAAACCUGGUGAGCUAUCCAUGAGCAGGGUGAAGCAAAAGUAACAUUUUGUGGAGGCCCGAACCGGUGUAUGUUGAAAAAUGCUCGGAUGACUUGUGGAUAGGGGUGAAAUGCUAAUCGAACCAGGAAAUAUCUGGCUCUCUCCGAAAUGACUUUAGGGUCAGCCUUGAAGUUUAGGUUCUUGGAGGUAGAGCACUGUUAGGGCUAGGGGGAUGACCAAUCUUACCAAACCCUGGCAAACUCCGAAUGCCAAGACACUUUAUUCAGGAGUGAGACCUAGGGGGAUAAGCUCCUAGGUCAAAAGGGAAACAGCCCAGACCGUCAGCUAAGGUCCCUAAAUAAACACUAAGUGGGAAAGGAGGUGGAGUUGCUUGAACAACCAGGAGGUUGGCUUAGAAGCAGCCAUCCUUUAAAGAAAGCGUAACAGCUCACUGGUCGAGCGAUUCUGCGCCGAAAAUGUAACGGGGCUAAGUGUGUUACCGAAGCUACGGGUUUGUCUUUAUGGCAAGCGGUAGGAGAGCGUUCUGUACUAGGAUGAAGUUGUAUUGAAAAAUAUGAUGGACGAAUCAGAAGUGAGAAUGUCGGCAUGAGUAACGAAAANAUNNGUGAGAAUCNNAUNCNCCGAAANCCUAAGGUUUCCUNNGNAAGGNUCGUCCNCNNAGGGUUAGUCAGGGCCUAAGGUGAGGCUGAAAAGCGUAAUCGAUGGACAACAGGUUAAUAUUCCUGUACUACCCGUAAAUCGUUAUUAGCAAUGGAGUGACGCAGGAGGCUAGGUCAUCCACUUAUUGGAUUGUGGUACAAGCAUGUAGGUAGAAAAAGUUGGCAAAUCCGCUUUUUCGUUAAUCUGAGAUGUGAUGUCGACUCCUUUUGGAGGAAGUGAUUGACGCCACGCUGACAAGAAAACCUUCUAGCGAGAUUUACAGGUAACCGUACUAAAACCGCCACAGGUAGGCAGGUAGAGAAUACUAAGGCGCGUGAGAGAACUCUCGUUAAGGAACUCUGCAAAAUGGCUUCGUAACUUUGGAAGAAGAAGUGCCCAAAUUUGUGAUGAUACUUGCUAUCGGAGCAUAUGAGGGUCGCAGUGAACCGAUUCAAUCGACUGUUUAUCAAAAACACAGGUCAAUGCUAAACCGCAAGGUGAUGUAUAUUGGCUGACGCCUGCCCAGUGCUGGAAGGUUAAUAGGAGAUGUCAAUAUUGCUUGCAAUGUGAAGCAUCGAAUUGAAGCCCCAGUGAACGGCGGCCGUAACUAUAACGGUCCUAAGGUAGCGAAAUUCCUUGUCGGGUAAGUUCCGACCCGCACGAAAGGCGUAACGAAUUGAAUACUGUCUCAACGAGAGACUCAGUGAAAUUGAAGUGUCCGUGAAGAUACGGACUACCUACAGCAAGACAGAAAGACCCCGUGGAGCUUUACUGUAACUUGGCUUUGUAUUUUGGAAUAAUUUGUGCAGGAUAGGUGGGAGACUUAGAUCUAUAAUCGUCAGAUUGUAAGGAGUCAUUGGUGAGAUACCACCCUGAUUAUUACGAAAUACUAACUAAUUCCCGUUAUCCGGGAAUAGGACAGAGUCUGGUGGGCAGUUUGACUGGGGCGGUCGCCUCCUAAAAGGUAA
rnacentral:rRNA from 1 species